rnacentral:piRNA from 1 species
UGAGAAUAGCCCAGAGAGUGUUUGACAA